UGGGCUGUCACAGGCUGCUGGUUCCUCCCGCUGCCUCUCCGGGGGGAGGGAAGGCCGUCCGCCCUGAGGACCCUGCAGUGCACGCGAUGGGAUCCCGGCUUCUCCUGAGUCAGCAAAGCAUGCUCAUGAGGCAGGAGAGGCAGCUGCCCAGGGGAGAGCCUCGCCGGGUCCGCGUUGAGAGCCACUCGCUCGCUCAGCCCCACUCUCGGGAAAGGAGCCGCGAGGGGCCGGGGUGGGAAGUGCACCCUGUCUCCGGAGAGCCACGUGUCCCGUGACCCCCAGGGUUCUCUCCAAACCAGGCCCACGCCGUGGCUUCUGGUUACACGGAUCAGCCUUCGGGAAUUCGAAGUGGAGAACCGGCAUUUAAUUGUAUCUAGUUCCCUGGACAAGGGACCGCGUUUGUCUUGGUGAAGAAUGCAGAACCCUACAUUCUGUUGCUCAAACAAAGCUUACUUUUGUCCCGAAACACCAAUAAAUACAUAAGCAGUUAUCUUAAUUGACGGCCCAGGUUCAAUACUAUAAAAUAAUAUUUUGCAUUGAA